rnacentral:rRNA from 1 species
CCUGCCAGUAGUUAUACGCUUGUUUCAAAGAUUAAGCCAUGCACGUGUAAGUAUAAUCUCACGAGAAACUGCGAAUGGCUCAUUAAAUCAGUUAUAGUUUAUUUGAUAGUGGAGUUUUACAUGGAUAACCGUAGAAAUUCUAGAGCUAAUACAUGCGUCAAGACCCGACUUUGCGGAAGGGUUGUAUUUAUUAGAUUCAAAACCAGCGGCAGGGCAACCUGUCUUGUGUGGUGAUUCAUAAUAACUGAGCGGAUCGCAUUUGGCACUUGCUGCCGGCGAUGGAUCAUUCAAAUUUCUGACUUAUCAACUUUCGAUUUCCGGAGAGGGGGCCUGAGAAAUGGCCACCACAUCCAAGGAAGGCAGCAGGCGCGUAAAUUACCCAAUACCGACACGGUGAGGUAGUGACAAUAAAUAACAAUGCGGGCUCUUACGAGCUCCGUAAUUGGAAUGAGUACAAUUUAAAAACCUUAACGAGAACCCAUUGGAGGGCAAGUCUGGUGCCAGCAGCCGCGGUAAUUCCAGCUCCAAUAGCGUAUAUUAAAGUUGCUGCAGUUAAAAAGCUCGUAGUUGGAUUUGGAGGGGUGAAGCAAAGGGGUGGGGCCCUCCGGGGCGCCGCCCUGCACCUCUUUGCCCGCAAGGGCAGAUGCCCGAUGAUUGGCGGCGUGCCCUUGAGUGGGUGCGGCGACAAGUCGGGGAGUUUACCAAGUCGGGGAGUUUACUUUGAAAAAAUUAGAGUGUUCAAAGCAGGCUUUUCAAUGCUUGGAUAGAUUAGCAUGGGAUAAUGGAAAACGAUUUUGGUCGAGUUUUGUUGGUGUUUGGUGACCGAAGUAAUGAUUAAUAGGGAUAGUUGGGGGCAUUAGUAUUUAAUUGUCAGAGGUGAAAUUCUUGGAUUUAUGAAAGACUAACUACUGCGAAAGCAUUUGUCAAAGAUGUUUUCAUUAAUCAAGAACGAAAGUUAGGGGAUCGAAGACGAUUAGAUACCGUCGUAGUCUUAACCAUAAACGAUGCCGACUAGGGACCAGUGGAGUGCGGGGGUCCGCAAGGGCAGCCGCGUGUGUGAAUGCAAAUGAGCACAGCAUUGGGACCUUUAUGAGAAAUCGAUAAGUUUUUGGGUUCUGGGGGGAGUAUGGUCGCAAGGCUGAAACUUAAAGGAAUUGACGGAAGGGCA